GCGGUGGCCCUGAGAUGCAAAAAACUACAGCAAAUCAGAAAACACAACACAAAAAGAGAAAACACAAUGGUAAAUGCCGCUGUGUUUUCUGAUUUGCUGUUGUGUUUUCUCUUUUUUUGUUGCGUUUUCUGAUUUGCCGUUGUGUUUUGCAGCUCAGGGCCACCGUA
rnacentral:miRNA from 1 species